UACAACCGGAAGUCAUUGAAACACGCAUGCGCAUUGGUGAGAGAGUCCUAAUUCCUCCACGUGUUUUCAUCUCUUUAAAAAAGUCAUACGUAAAGAUGAGGCCUCUCACUGACGAUGAAUGUAAAUUAUUUUUUGAAAAAUUAACCAAAUAUAUUGGAGAUAACAUUUCACAGCUGUUGGAAAGAACUGAUGGAAAGUAUUGUUUCCGUUUACAUAAGGAAAGGAUUUAUUACUGCAAAGAAAGUUUAAUGAAAAAGGCUUGUCAUGUUUCCAGAGAAAACUUAAGAAGUUUUGGCACCUGUUUUGGCAAGUUCACCAAAACUCGCAAAUUUCGGCUUCAUGUUACUGCAUUAGAUUUUCUUGCUCCUUAUGCUAAGUACAAAAUAUGGUUGAAGCCAAAUGCAGAACAACAGUUCUUAUAUGGAAACCACAUCAUGAAAGCUGGUCUUGGUAGAAUCACAGAAAAUACUGAGCAGUACCAAGGUGUUAUUGUAUACAAUAUGAAUGAUUUGCCUUUGCAGUAAAGGGUACUGGGUGAGGAAACAAACUAUUUAAUUACCUAUAAGAUACAGGCAUGGCUGUGUGGCUAAGAAGUUCUCUUCCCAACCACAUGGUUUCAGGUUCAGUCUCACUGCAUAACACCUUGGGGGUUUGGAGUAGCAUCUAAAUCAACACAAAAUUGUCGAAGAGCAGACCCAAUGGAUAUUGUUGCGUUUCAUCAGGCAGACAUUGGGG
rnacentral:misc_RNA from 1 species